rnacentral:tRNA from 1 species
GCGGGUAUAAUUUAAUGGUAGAAUUCUAGCUUCCCAAGUUAGAUAUACGGGUUCAAUUCCCGUUACCCGCU